GACGAACGCUGGCGGUGUGCUUAACACAUGCAAGUCGAACGGUAAGGCCCUUUCGGGGGUACACGAGUGGCGAACGGGUGAGUAACACGUGAGUAACCUGCCCUCAUCUCUGGGAUAACAGUCGGAAACGGUUGCUAAUACUGGAUAUGAGCUUGCAAGGCAUCUUGUGGGUUGGAAAGAUAUUUUUUGGUUGGGGAUGGACUCGCGGCCUAUCAGCUUGUUGGUGAGGUAGUGGCUCACCAAGGCUUCGACGGGUAGCCGGCCUGAGAGGGCGACCGGCCACAUUGGGACUGAGAUACGGCCCAGACUCCUACGGGAGGCAGCAGUGGGGAAUAUUGCACAAUGGACGGAAGUCUGAUGCAGCAACGCCGCGUGCGGGAUGACGGCCUUCGGGUUGUAAACCGCUUUC
rnacentral:rRNA from 2 species